rnacentral:rRNA from 1 species
GAUGAACGCUGGCGGUAUGCCUAACACAUGCAAGUCGUACGAGAGUUUUUAACUCUAGUGGCGGACGGGUGAGUAACACGUGAGAAUUUGCCUUUAGGAGGGGGACAACAAUCGGAAACGAAUGCUAAUACCCCAUAUGCUUUCGAGUGAAAUGGAUUUUAUCCGCCUAGAGAGAAGCUCGCGGCUGAUUAGCUUGUUGGUAAGGUAAGAGCUUACCAAGGCGACGAUCAGUAUCUGGUUUGAGAGGACGAUCAGACACACUGGAACUGAGACACGGCCCAGACUCCUACGGGAGGCAGCAGUGGGGAAUUUUGGGACAAUGGGCGCAAGCCUGAUCCAGCCAUGCCGCGUGCGGGAUGAAGGCCUUCGGGUUGUAAACCGC